GAUGAACGGCUGGCGGCGUCGCGUUAACACAGUGCAAGUCGAACGAAGCACUUUUGAUUGAUUCUUCGGGAUGAAAGAGAUUGUGACUGAGUGGCGGACGGGUGAGUAACGCGUGGGGUAACCUGCCUCAUACAGGGGGAUAACAGUUAGAAAUGACUGCUAAUACCGCAUAAGCGCACGGUAUCGCAUGAUACAGUGUGAAAGGCCGAGACGGUAUGAGAUGGACCCGCGUCUGAUUAGGUAGUUGGUGAGGUAACGGCCCACCAAGCCGACGAUCAGUAGCCGACCUGAGAGGGUGACCGGCCACAUUGGGACUGAGACACGGCCCAG
rnacentral:rRNA from 1 species